rnacentral:rRNA from 1 species
UACGUAGGGGGCUAGCGUUGUCCGGAAUCAUUGGGCGUAAAGCGCGUGUAGGCGGUCCGGUAAGUCCGCUGUGAAAGUCGGGGGCUCAACCCUCGAAUGCCGGUGGAUACUGUCGGGCUAGAGUGCGGAAGAGGCGAGUGGAAUUCCUGGUGUAGCGGUGUAAUGCGCAGAUAUCAGGAGGAACACCAAUUGCGAAGGCAGCUCGCUGGGACGUUACUGACGCUGAGACGCGAAAGCGUGGGGAGCAAACAGG